rnacentral:sRNA from 1 species
CCAAUGCCAGGGUCAGGAUUAGGACCAGGAAAGAGUGAUGAUUCUGACAUUUGGGAUGAUACAGCAUUGAUAAAAGCUUAUGAUAAAGCUGUGGCUUCCUUUAAGCAUGCUCUAAAGAACGGUGACAUUUGUGAAACUCCAGAUAAGCCAAAAGGCACAGCCAGAAGAAAACCUGCCAAGAAGAAUAAAAGCCAAAAGAAGAAUGCCACAACCCCCUUGAAACAGUGGAAAGUUGGUGACAAGUGUUCUGCUGUUUGGUCAGAAGACGGCUGCAUUUACCCAGCUACUAUUACGUCCAUUGACUUUAAGAGAGAAACCUGUGUCGUGGUUUAUACUGGAUAUGGAAACAGAGAGGAGCAAAACUUAUCUGACCUACUUUCCCCGACCUGUGAAGUAGCUAAUAGUACAGAACAGAACACUCAGGAGAAUGAAAGUCAAGUUUCCACAGACGACAGUGAACACUCCUCCAGAUCGCUCAGAAGUAAA